GCCUGUGGCUCCUAGAAUUAUCUAGAGACAAUCAGAGGACAAACACAAGAUUGUAAACAUAAACCAGGAGAGGCUGGGUCACUUGCUGAACAUCUGUAGGUCUUCUUGCUGUACCAAUCAACUAGGAAUGAAAGCCAUUUUUAUGGCCAGGGUGUUCCCAUAAAUAUGGUAUUUGUGCCCAUCUCUCCAUGAGAAAAGGAAAAUACAAGAAAUAACAGAAGCUGUGAUGAUUUCAGAAUUAUCACAGGGACCUUGAAAUUAUCAUUCUGAAAAUAAAAUUGUUUCUACAAAAGGCAA
ensembl:lncRNA